CAAUUAUUUUCCAUUAUCUCUUUCAGCCCCAUGCACCCGUCAUUACCGGAUCAAGCUGUCUCCAUGGAGACGUGCUGGGUGAGAUUGGUGCUCGCCGGCGCCCCUGGUGGCUGGGCUGGAUAGUUUGGAAAAUAGGGGUUAGAAGUGCCAGUACAGGCCAGAUACAGCACGAUGACUGUGUUAAAUGGGAAGACGCUCACUGGUAAAUCCCAGUGACCCAGUACCGGAGCCAAACUGCUGGAAAGAAAAGUCCUGUGACAGGAGAGAAAAGGGUUGUUUGAGUUUGGAAUGCUCCACCGAGACACACAGGCAGCAGAAGCCACCAGUACCAAUCUCCAGCAGAGCUGAACACUCCCAUCAGCAGAGCCACCAGCAUUCCAUUAAAACCAUG